UUUGUUCUCUCUCUGACUCUGUUCCUGUCUAACUACAUUUCUUGUUAAUCUCCAACAACGCAUUAGCCAAUUGUCAAAUGUCUAAACCAGUUGGUAAAAAAGCAGUUAUAUUUACAAUUGAACUGACAAAAAUUGUUGGACAACUCUAGAAGAAAGCAUCUAAUUGUUGACAGAAAAUUAAUUGGACAGGAACAGAGUCAGAGAGAGAACAAA
rnacentral:misc_RNA from 1 species